rnacentral:misc_RNA from 1 species
UCCGAGUUGACCCCGGCAGUCUCCCAUGAGUCCCCGGCAUAACCCGCUGGCAACAUAGGACGAGGGUUGCGCUCGUUGCGGGACUUAACCCAACAUCUCACGACACGAGCUGACGACAGCCAUGCACCACCUGUGCACGACCCCGAAGGACCCCACAUCUCUGUGAGAUUUCCGUACAUGUCAAACCCAGGUAAGGUUCUUCGCGUUGCAUCGAAUUAAUCCACAUAAUCCACCGCUUGUGCGGGUCCCCGUCAAUUCCUUUGAGUUUUAACCUUGCGGCCGUACUCCCCAGGCGGUCGACUUCACGCGUUAGCUUCGUUACUGAGAGUGUCAAACCCCCAACAACCAGUCGACAUCGUUUAGGGCGUGGACUAC